rnacentral:lncRNA from 1 species
AAGUAUGCCCACAAAGCCACUCAUUUGAUGUAAUAGCUUUUGGAAUACUUAUUGUAUUAAACUUUUUUAUGUUUAAUGAAGGGCAAAGCUUAUUGUUAAUCACUAUUUAUUGUAUCAUGUGUUUAAGCAAUAAGGGAAUCCAAGGGAUGUAUUUGAUCUAAGAGACAAGUGAUCUAAGUGAGUUAGAUUAUCGAGACCAUUCUCUUAUGAUUCAUUCCUAAAACGUUCCUAGCCAUAGGAUUGCCAAUUGGGCAUUGACAAUCCGCUAAGGUUAGUAUGUGUUAUGUUAACUCAAACGUGAGUAUGAACUAGUCUCAAGUCAUUUGGUGUUGGACACUAAG